GCUUUAGUUGCUAUGGGAGAAGUAACUGUCACGCCCCAAAUCCGGAUCAUGACACGGCCGUGCUAUUGCUAUCUUAUGCACACAAUAACACGAAGCCACAUAAAAUUUCAUAAUAAAAAUAAAUAGUUUCAUUUACUAAUAUCAUAACAUUGUUCAUGAAGUUGGAACAGUACAGAGCUUCUAAAAUCUGAUUAUUACAUAACAUUUUCAAUUACCCCAACCCUGAAUAACAUCAAGCUCCCCGCUCCUAGUGGUCUUAAUCAUCUGUAGGAAAAAAAUAGAUAAAAAGGUAUGAGCUACACAGCUCAGUAAGUAACCAGGUACUAUCUUAUUGGAUCAAGU
rnacentral:lncRNA from 1 species